CAGCCCGCCCCAAGGCUCCCUCCAUGGCCUCCUGCAGGGCUUGAGGUGGUCAGGCUCCCCACAGUGCUGCCCCUCGCAGUGCCAGGGCAGUGCCACACCUGUAAGCUGCGGCGCCAUGCCCGGUUUGAGGGCGCCGCUGGCCUGUUGUGCCGAUACGAAGGCAUGACUCUCCAACGGGUCACCUGUACAGCAAGAGCAAGAGCAAGACCGACAGCCCGCCUCGGCACCUCAGCCCGCCCCAAAGCUCCCUCCAUGGCCUCCUGCAGGGCUUGAGGUGUUCAGGCUCCCCACACUGCUGCCCCACGCAGUGCCAGGGCAGUGCCACACCUGUAAUCUGCGGCGCCAUGCCCGGUCUGAGGGCGCCGCUGGACUGUUGUGCCGAUACGAAGGCCUGACUCUCCAACGGGUCACCUGUACAGCAAGAGCAAGAGCAAGACCGACAGCCCGCCUCGGCCCCUCAGCCCGCCCCAAGGCUCCCUCCAUGGCCUCCUGCAGGGCUUGAGGUGGUCAGGCUCCCCACAGUGCUGCCCCUCGCAGUGCCAGGGCAGUGCCACACCUGUAAUCUGCGGCGCCAUGCCCGGUUUGAGGGCGCCGCUGGCCUGUGGCUCGGGAUUUCUCCCCAGCCAGGCCUUUGUACAGCAAGAGCAAGAGCAAGACCGCCAGCCCGCCUCGGCCCCUCAGCCCGCCCCAAAGCUCCCUCCAUGGCCUCCUGCAGGGCUUGAGGUGGUCAGGCUCAUCACAGUGCUGCCCCACGCAGUGCCAGGGCAGUGCCACACCUGUAAUCUGCGGCGCCAUGCCCGGUCUGAGGGCGCCGCUGGACUAAACCACUACAUGCCUGAGAUGCACCGCCCCGCCCCAACCCACCAUCAUGACCUGCCCGCCCCCCUGGCAUAAAUUGAAACUCCUAAAUGACUGACUCUUCGAUGUCUGAGACGACCCACCCUGCCCUGCGUCAUGACCUCCCAGCAUAAAUUGAAACCGUGCGCUGAAUGGGUGACUUUUCAAUACUGGAGGUCCACUCCCUGACGCCCCGCCCUGCCCCGCCCCGCACGUCAUGACCUGCCCCGGCGUCAGUUGGUAAGUAAUGCAUGCUGUUUAUGAUUAUCCAGCACACAGCUAUGUGGGCAAUGUUGUUGUCAUAUAUAUUACCCAUGAGCUGGUUCUGUUUACAGCAAGAAUCAUUACCUUAUAAAACCUAACGUGUGCUUCUGAUGCAAUGCAUUGUCCGAGGUGUGAUCAAAUCGCU